UCAAGCCAAAGCCAUUAUUCUAGCUAUCUAUUUUGCUUUCUUCAUUUUAAUAUCAAGCAUGAGAGCUUAUUUGUGUCAUUGAGUUUGACUUACCUAUUUGGCCUGAAACUGUACCAACAUUAUUCGGGUGUGUUUAAGACAUUGAGUGUAAAUUUUAGGGGUUGUUUGAUAUUGUUUGCCUGCUGAACCAAAAUUUUACGGCAAACCCGAUCAAAUUUAGUUCACAUAGCAAAUCAACCCAGAAAUUCCUGAAAAUUUACCGG
rnacentral:misc_RNA from 1 species